rnacentral:rRNA from 1 species
AUCCUCCAAGGCUAAAUACUCCUGAUUGACCGAUAGUGAACCAGUACCGUGAGGGAAAGGCGAAAAGAACCCCGGCGAGGGGAGUGAAAUAGAACCUGAAACCGUGUACGUACAAGCAGUGGGAGCCUUGAUUUAUCAGGGUGACUGCGUACCUUUUGUAUAAUGGGUCAGCGACUUAUAUUCUGUAGCAAGGUUAACCGAAUAGGGGAGCCGUAGGGAAACCGAGUCUUAACUGGGCGAAUGAGUUGCAGGGUAUAGACCCGAAACCCGGUGAUCUAGCCAUGGGCAGGUUGAAGGUUGGGUAACACUAACUGGAGGACCGAACCGACUAAUGUUGAAAAAUUAGCGGAUGACUUGUGGCUGGGGGUGAAAGGCCAAUCAAACCGGGAGAUAGCUGGUUCUCCCCGAAAGCUAUUUAGGUAGCGCCUCGUGAACUCAUCUUCGGGGGUAGAGCACUGUUUCGGCUAGGGGGUCAUCCCGACUUACCAACCCGAUGCAAACUACGAAUACCGAAGAAUGUUAUCACGGGAGACACACGGCGGGUGCUAACGUUCGUCGUGAAGAGGGAAACAACCCAGACCGCCAGCUAAGGUCCCAAAGUCAUGGUUAAGUGGGAAACGAAGUGGGAAGGCUCAGACAGCCAGGAUGUUGGCUUAGAAGCAGCCAUCAUUUAAAGAAAGCGUAAUAGCUCACUGGUCGAGUCGGCCUGCGCGGAAGAUGUAACGGGGCUAAACCAUGCACCGAAGCUGCGGCAGCGACAUGUAAAUGUUGUUGGGUAGGGGAGCGUUCUGUAAGCCUGUGAAGGUGUGCUGCGAGGCAUGCUGGAGGUAUCAGAAGUGCGAAUGCUGACAUAAGUAACGAUAAUGCGGGUGAAAAACCCGCACGCCGGAAGACCAAGGGUUCCUGUCCAACGUUAAUCGGGGCAGGGUGAGUCGACCCCUAAGGCGAGGCAGAAAUGCGUAGUCGAUGGGAAACAGGUUAAUAUUCCUGUACUGGUGAUAAUUGCGAUGGGGGGACGGAGAAGGCUAGGCUGGCCGGGCGACGGUUGUCCCGGUUUAAGGAUGUAGGUGGGUGAAUUAGGCAAAUCCGGUUCGCUAUACACUGAGGUCUGAUGACGAGUCACUACGGUGGCGAAGUAGCUCAUGCCCCGCUUCCAGGAAAAGCCUCUAAGCUCUAGAUUAUCAUUAAUCGUACCCCAAACCGACACAGGUGGUCAGGUAGAGAAUACUCAGGCGCUUGAGAGAACUCGGGUGAAGGAACUAGGCAAAAUGGUGCCGUAACUUCGGGAGAAGGCACGCUGGCA